rfam:Nicotiana attenuata strain TT chromosome 7, whole genome shotgun sequence.
AAUUACGCUAGCGAACUAUUCUUUCGCCUUUUACUAAAGAAUACUGUGUGUAUAGUGGCAUACGCCUAUUUUUGGAGGGGUUCUCAAAUUGAGUUUG